rnacentral:lncRNA from 1 species
GGAUACUGGAGUGAUGGAGGUAGAUAUGUAUAGGGGGAAGGGGACAGGGAUACUGGAGUGAUGGAGGUAGAUAUGUAUAGGGGUAAGGAGACAGGGAUACUGGAGUGAUGGAGGUAGAUAUGUAUAGGGGGAAGGAGACAGGGAUACUGGAGUGAUGGAGGUAGAUAUGUAUAGGGGUAAGGGGACAGGGAUACUGGAGUGAUGGAGGUAGAUAUGUAUAGGGGGAAGGAGACAGGGAUACUGGAGUGAUGGAGGUAGAUAUGUAUAGGGGACAGGGAUACUGGAGUGAUGGAGGUAGAUAUGUAUAGGGGUAAGGGGACAGGGAUACUGGAGUGAUGGAGGUAGAUAUGUAUAGG